rfam:Helianthus annuus linkage group 8, whole genome shotgun sequence.
GAAAAGAAUCUGUAAAGCUCAGGAGGGAUAGCGCCUAUAUAUGGCAUGUAUGCAUACUUUUACGUAUGGUGUCUAUCAAAGGCGCUGUCUAUCCUGAGCCUCACGGCUUCUUUUU